AACGUCACAAGACGAAAGCAUAGAGGAAGGCGAUAAACUGACAGACUUGGAAAUAACAAACUUGGUGACAUCUAGUGUGAGGAUUGCAGAGUUAUUGUCUUCUUCGCCAGAUUCAUUGAAUGCUGACAUAUCUAAUGACUUUACUGAGUAUAUAAGCAACUUAUUAGAUCCUACGAAUACAGAGAGUUGGAAUGCCAUAUCGCAAACGAGUAGCAGUGUGGCUGAAAGUGUCUUAUCAAGCAUUGAUACACUUGGUGAAGCGCUUGGAAAAUAUGUCGCAUCAUCGGGCACAGCCCUUCCUCAGUCGUGAAAAAGAACAUAGCUGUUCAAGUAAAGCAGAUUUCAUCAGAUGAGUUUGUUUUUCCUGAUUCCGAUGCCAAACAUGACACUGUAGACGGCAAUUGGCUCGUAGAUACAAAGAGUAAAGUCCAAUUUAAUCUAGACUCAUUGCAAGGAGAAACUGGCCAAGAGUUUAUUGUCACAGCGGCAAUGUAUAAAGAUUUGUCAGAUAUUCUGC